rnacentral:other from 1 species
GGUAGUCUGCGGAGUACGACAGGGGUCUGUUAAAUUUUGAGCCUAACUAUUUGAACGGGAGUCCGCGUCUUCGGGCGGUGUGCUCAGUUGCGCCACGCGCAACUGCCUAAUGUCCGAAGUAGGGCGCCCACCUACUGGGUCUGGGUUCAAAUAGACGUCCCCACCGGCUCCGGCGGAUUGCUC